CAGUUACAAAUAAAAAUCCUCGUCUCGUUUGAGCGCAGAUAACGCGAGAAGCGACAUGAUAUGAUUGAUUACCUACUUUAACCUCGUAAGACCCAGUAUAUAAAGUUUUCAUAUUUUUAAUUUGAACCUUAUUCUAUAAGUAAAUUGGGACGAAUUUCAUUUGUUUUAAAAAGCAAUGAAACAAAAGAAAUGCUACUUUAUUUGAUUCAUGAAAGGUUCAAAUUAGAUUGCACGAUUAUGUACAUUUAGUCUCAGGAGGAUAAACCACACAAAAGCGUGUCAUACGAGCUGAAUCACGGGCGCAGACGUUUGUACCGAUAUCUAGUGUUUUGUAUUGCAACAUUAUUAUGAAACAAAUUACAAUCAUCUUGCUCCUUGCGUUUGUGUCGUCAUGCGUGGCGAGAGAUCUGGUCAUCGGCAGCAGUUAUGGCGCGCACCUGGCCUGGCGCACCAAAGUCAACGCCAUGGCGUUUCCGUUUAAAAAAAGAGUGAGAGAAGUGUUUUAUUGGAACCCUGAACAAAUACCUAUUCGAGGCAUAAUAGCGAGAGACUUGGACCGAACGAUGGGCGCGUUGGAAAGCAUCACGGCCGGUGGGACAGGCCUCCCCUACGUCAAUAUCCGUCUAAAAAGCGCCCGAGGAAAAGGGCUGAAUUAUCAGGUCGAAAUUUAUAUUUGAAGUAUGAGGGAUAUCAUUUAUUUUGUGUCUGUAGGUACGAGGAAGUAAGCAAUUAUUUUUACAAUGUU